GGGGAAUUUGGGACAAUGGGGGAACCCCUGAUCCGGCCUGCCCGGUUGUGGAAAGAGGCCUUGUUGUUUGUAAACCACUUAAGCGGGGUGGGUGGCCCUUUGGUUUAUUACCAAAGUUGAUUGGACGUUCCCCGAAGAAUAACCACCGUCUAACUUUCUGCCAGCAGCCGCGGUAAUACAGAGGGUGCGAGCGUUAAUCGGAUUUACUGGGCGUAAAGCGUGCGUAGGCGGCUUUUUAAGUCGGAUGUGAAAUCCCCGAGCUUAACUUGGGAAUUGCAUUCGAUACUGGGAAGCUAGAGUAUGGGAGAGGAUGGUAGAAUUCCAGGUGUAGCGGUGAAAUGCGUAGAGAUCUGGAGGAAUACCGAUGGCGAAGGCAGCCAUCUGGCCUAAUACUGACGCUGAGGUACGAAAGCAUGGGGAGCAAACA
rnacentral:rRNA from 1 species